rnacentral:rRNA from 1 species
AGUGAACGCUGGCGGUAGGCCUAACACAUGCAAGUCGAACGGCAGCACAGUAAGAGCUUGCUCUUACGGGUGGCGCGUGGCGGACGGGUGAGGAAUACAUCGGAAUCUACUUUUUCGUGGGGGAUAACGUAGGGAAACUUACGCUAAUACCGCAUACGACCUACGGGUGAAAGCAGGGGAUCUUCGGACCUUGCGCGAUUGAAUGAGCCGAUGUCGGAUUAGCUAGUUGGCGGGGUAAAGGCCCACCAAGGCGACGAUCCGUAGCUGGUCUGAGAGGAUGAUCAGCCACACUGGAACUGAGACACGGUCCAGACUCCUACGGGAGGCAGCAGUGGGGAAUAUUGGACAAUGGGCGCAAGCCUGAUCCAGCCAUACCGCGUGGGUGAAGAAGGCCUUCGGGUUGUAAAGCCCUUUUGUUGGGAAAGAAAAGCAGCAGGUUAAUACCCCGCUGUUCUGACGGUACCCAAAGAAUAAGCACCGGCUAACUUCG